ACGCUCGACACCUACGAGGCAGCAGUGGGGAAUAUUGCACAAUGGGGGAAACCCUGAUGCAGCGACGCCGCGUGGAGGAAGAAGGUCUUCGGAUUGUAAACUCCUGUUGUUGGGGAAAAAGAGGAUGGUACCCAACAAGGAAGUGACGGCUAACUACGUGCCAGUAGCCGCGGUAAUCUGAGCGGGCUGGCAAGGC
rnacentral:rRNA from 1 species